UUAAGCGACUAAGCGUACACGGUGGAUGCCCUGGCAGUCAGAGGCGAUGAAGGGCGUGCUAAUCUGCGAUAAGCGCCGGUAAGGUGAUAUGAACCGUUAUAACCGGCGAUACCCGAAUGGGGAAACCCAGUGUGAUUCGUCACACUAUCAUUAACUGAAUCCAUAGGUUAAUGAGGCGAACCGGGGGAACUGAAACAUCUAAGUACCCCGAGGAAAAGAAAUCAACCGAGAUUCCCCCAGUAGCGGCGAGCGAACGGGGAGGAGCCCAGAGCCUGAAUCAGCAUGUGUGUUAGUGGAAGCGUCUGGAAAGGCGCGCGAUACAGGGUGACAGCCCCGUACACAAAAGCGCAUGUGCUGUGAGCUCGAUGAGUAGGGCGGGACACGUGGUAUCCUGUCUGAAUAUGGGGGGACCAUCCUCCAAGGCUAAAUACUCCUGACUGACCGAUAGUGAACCAGUACCGUGAGGGAAAGGCGAAAAGAACCCCGGCGAGGGGAGUGAAAAAGAACCUGAAACCGUGUACGUACAAGCAGUGGGAGCACCCUUUGGGUGUGACUGCGUACCUUUUGUAUAAUGGGUCAGCGACUUAUAUUCUGUAGCAAGGUUAACCGAAUAGGGGAGCCGGAGGGAAACCGAGUCUUAACCGGGCGUUAAGUUGCAGGGUAUAGACCCGAAACCCGGUGAUCUAGCCAUGGGCAGGUUGAAGGUUGGGUAACACUAACUGGAGGACCGAACCGACUAAUGUUGAAAAAUUAGCGGAUGACCUGUGGCUGGGGGUGAAAGGCCAAUCAAACCGGGAGAUAGCUGGUUCUCCCCGAAAGCUAUUUAGGUAGCGCCUCGUGAAUUCAUCUCCGGGGGUAGAGCACUGUUUCGGCUAGGGGGCCAUCCCGGCUUACCAACCCGAUGCAAACUGCGAAUACCGGAGAAUGUUAUCACGGGAGACACACGGCGGGUGCUAACGUCCGUCGUGAAGAGGGAAACAACCCAGACCGCCAGCUAAGGUCCCAAAGUCAUGGUUAAGUGGGAAACGAUGUGGGAAGGCCCAGACAGCCAGGAUGUUGGCUUAGAAGCAGCCAUCAUUUAAAGAAAGCGUAAUAGCUCACUGGUCGAGUCGGCCUGCGCGGAAGAUGUAACGGGGCUAAACCAUGCACCGAAGCUGCGGCAGCGACACUGUGUGUUGUUGGGUAGGGGAGCGUUCUGUAAGCCUGUGAAGGUGUGUCGUGAGGCAUGCUGGAGGUAUCAGAAGUGCGAAUGCUGACAUAAGUAACGAUAAAGCGGGUGAAAAGCCCGCUCGCCGGAAGACCAAGGGUUCCUGUCCAACGUUAAUCGGGGCAGGGUGAGUCGACCCCUAAGGCGAGGCCGAAAGGCGUAGUCGAUGGGAAACGGGUUAAUAUUCCCGUACUUGGUGUUACUGCGAAGGGGGGACGGAGAAGGCUAUGUUGGCCGGGCGACGGUUGUCCCGGUUUAAGCGUGUAGGUGUGUGUUCCAGGUAAAUCCGGUUCACUUUAACACUGAGGCGUGACGACGAGGCACUACGGUGCUGAAGCAACAAAUGCCCUGCUUCCAGGAAAAGCCUCUAAGCAUCAGGUAACAUCAAAUCGUACCCCAAACCGACACAGGUGGUCAGGUAGAGAAUACCAAGGCGCUUGAGAGAACUCGGGUGAAGGAACUAGGCAAAAUGGUGCCGUAACUUCGGGAGAAGGCACGCUGACACGUAGGUGAAGUGAUUUACUCAUGGAGCUGAAGUCAGUCGAAGAUACCAGCUGGCUGCAACUGUUUAUUAAAAACACAGCACUGUGCAAACACGAAAGUGGACGUAUACGGUGUGACGCCUGCCCGGUGCCGGAAGGUUAAUUGAUGGGGUCAGCGCAAGCGAAGCUCCUGAUCGAAGCCCCGGUAAACGGCGGCCGUAACUAUAACGGUCCUAAGGUAGCGAAAUUCCUUGUCGGGUAAGUUCCGACCUGCACGAAUGGCGUAAUGAUGGCCAGGCUGUCUCCACCCGAGACUCAGUGAAAUUGAACUCGCUGUGAAGAUGCAGUGUACCCGCGGCAAGACGGAAAGACCCCGUGAACCUUUACUAUAGCUUGACACUGAACAUUGAGCCUUGAUGUGUAGGAUAGGUGGGAGGCUUUGAAGUGUGGACGCCAGUCUGCAUGGAGCCGACCUUGAAAUACCACCCUUUAAUGUUUGAUGUUCUAACGUGGACCCGUUACCCGGGUUGCGGACAGUGUCUGGUGGGUAGUUUGACUGGGGCGGUCUCCUCCUAAAGAGUAACGGAGGAGCACGAAGGUUGGCUAAUCCUGGUCGGACAUCAGGAGGUUAGUGCAAUGGCAUAAGCCAGCUUGACUGCGAGCGUGACGGCGCGAGCAGGUGCGAAAGCAGGUCAUAGUGAUCCGGUGGUUCUGAAUGGAAGGGCCAUCGCUCAACGGAUAAAAGGUACUCCGGGGAUAACAGGCUGAUACCGCCCAAGAGUUCAUAUCGACGGCGGUGUUUGGCACCUCGAUGUCGGCUCAUCACAUCCUGGGGCUGAAGUAGGUCCCAAGGGUAUGGCUGUUCGCCAUUUAAAGUGGUACGCGAGCUGGGUUUAGAACGUCGUGAGACAGUUCGGUCCCUAUCUGCCGUGGGCGCUGGAGAACUGAGGGGGGCUGCUCCUAGUACGAGAGGACCGGAGUGGACGCAUCACUGGUGUUCGGGUUGUCAUGCCAAUGGCACUGCCCGGUAGCUAAAUGCGGAAGAGAUAAGUGCUGAAAGCAUCUAAGCACGAAACUUGCCCCGGGAUGAGUUCUCCCUGAGACUUAGAGUCUCCUGAAGGAACGUUGAAGACGACGACGUUGAUAGGCCGGGUGUGUAAGCGCAGCGAUGCGUUGAGCUAACCGGUACUAAUGAACCGUGAGGCUUAACCUU
rnacentral:rRNA from 1 species